UGUGUGAAAGCAAAAGAAAUCUAGGCAAUAAUGGUUUUAGCUUUCUGAAAAUGCAGUUGAAAUAUUAGUAGAGUGAAAGUUUCUUUUGAGAGAGAAAAACAAACUAUCGCAUUGUACACUAAUUUUGCAAUUAUAUUUGCAUAAAGCUAAACCAUUAUUGUGCAGAUUCGAAUUUAUCUACUUUAUCGUGGAAGAUGAUGUCAAUAAUUAUAUACGGGCCAUUUUAAUCCUCAUCAAGAAAACACGCAAUCAAGUACUAUAAAGUUGAGUACUACACAGUAGACAUAAAAAAUAAAAAAUA
rnacentral:lncRNA from 1 species